UUAAAUUGAAGAGUUUGAUCAUGGCUCAGAUUGAACGCUGGCGGCAGGCCUAACACAUGCAAGUCGAACGGUAACAGGAAGCAGCUUGCUGCUUCGCUGACGAGUGGCGGACGGGUGAGUAAUGUCUGGGAAACUGCCUGAUGGAGGGGGAUAACUACUGGAAACGGUAGCUAAUACCGCAUAACGUCGCAAGACCAAAGAGGGGGACCUUCGGGCCUCUUGCCAUCGGAUGUGCCCAGAUGGGAUUAGCUAGUAGGUGGGGUAACGGCUCACCUAGGCGACGAUCCCUAGCUGGUCU
rnacentral:rRNA from 1 species